AUCUCCUGGGGAUCUUGUUAAAAUGCAGAUUCUGACUCAGUGGGGCUGGGGUGGGACCUGAGAGUCUGCAUUUCUAACCAGGUCCCAAAGGAUGCCUG
rnacentral:pre_miRNA from 1 species